rnacentral:rRNA from 1 species
AGGAUUAACGCUGGCGGCGUGCCUAACACAUGCAAGUCGAACGAGGUAGCAAUACCUAGUGGCAGACGGGUGAGUAACGCGUGGUCAACCUACCGUUGAGUGGGGGAUAACUAGCCGAAAGGUUAGCUAAUACCGCAUACGAGUCUCGGGGGCAUCCCUGGGCCUUAAAAGGAGCAAUCCGCUCGAUGACGGGACCGCGUCCCAUUAGCUAGAUGGUGGGGUAAUGGCCUACCAUGGCUCCGAUGGGUAGCUGGUUUGAGAGAGCGACCAGCCACACUGGGACUGAGAAACGGCCCAGACUCCUACGGGAGGCAGCAGUGAGGAAUUUUCCGCAAUGGGCGAAAGCCUGACGGAGCGACGCCGCGUGUGGGAAGAAGGCCUUCGGGUCGUAAACCACUGUCGAAGGGGACGAUAAUGACGGUACCCUUGGAGGAAGCCCGGCUAACUACGCGCCAGCAGCCGC